rnacentral:tRNA from 1 species
GGUUUGUGGCUCAGCAGUAGAGCGCUCGCCUAGCACACGUGAGGCCCUGGGUUCGAUCCCCAACACCA